CCUACGGGAGGCUGCAGUGAGGAAUAUUGGUCAAUGGGCGCUAGCCUGAACCAGCCAAGUAGCGUGAAGGAUGACUGCCCUAUGGGUUGUAAACUUCUUUUAUAUGGGAAUAAAGUGCAGUAUGUAUACUGCUUUGCAUGUACCUUAUGAAUAAGGAUCGGCUAACUCCGUGCCAGCAGCCGCGGUAAUACGGAGGAUCCGAGCGUUAUCCGGAUUUAUUGGGUUUAAAGGGAGCGUAGGCUGGUUGUUAAGUCAGUUGUGAAAGUUUGCGGCUCAACCGUAAAAUUGCAGUUGAUACUGGCAGCCUUGAGUACAGUAGAGGUAGGCGGAAUUCGUGGUGUAGCGGUGAAAUGCUUAGAUAUCACGAAGAACUCCGAUUGCGAAGGCAGCCUGCUGGACUGUAACUGACGCUGAUGCUCGAAAGUGUGGGUAUCAAACAGGAUUAGAUACCCCUGUAGUC
rnacentral:rRNA from 1 species